UACGAAGGGGGCUAGCGUUGCUCGGAAUGACUGGGCGUAAAGGGCGCGUAGGCGGCGCAGUUAGUCAGGCGUGAAAUUCCUGGGCUCAACCUGGGGACUGCGCUUGAUACGGCUGUGCUUGAGGAUGGAAGAGGCUCGCGGAAUUCCCAGUGUAGAGGUGAAAUUCGUAGAUAUUGGGGAAAGAACACCGGUGGCGAAGGCGGCGAGCUGGUCCAUUACUGACGCUGAGGCGCGACAGCGUGGGGAGCAAACAGG
rnacentral:rRNA from 1 species